rnacentral:rRNA from 1 species
CGAGAGUNUUCGGGACUCGGCAGACGGCUCAGUAACACGCGGAUANUCUGCCCNUNGGGUGGGGAAUAAUCUCGGGAAACUGAGCAUAAUACCCCAUAGGCNNGAGAUGCUGGAACGCCCUCAGGCAAAAAGNUCCGGCGCCCAAGGAUGAGUCUGCGGCCUAUCAGCUUGUAGUUGGUGUAAAUGACCAACUAGGCGACGACGGGUACGGGCAUUGGGAGAUGUAGCCCGGAGAUGGACUCUGAGACACGAGUCCAGGCCCUACGGGGCGCAGCAGUCGCGAAAACUUCACAAUGUGGGAAACCGCGAUGAGGGGAUUCCAAGUGCUUGCGUUUUGCGUAAGCUGUUCUCCUGCCUAAAAAACAGAGAGAGUAAGAGCUGGGUAAGACGGGUGCCAGCCGCCGCGGUAAUACCUGCAGCUCAAGUGGUGGCCGCUAUUAUUGGGCCUAAAACGUCCGUAGCCGGUUUAGUAAAUGCUUGGGUAAAUUGUGUAGCUCAACUAUACGAAUACCGAGUAGACUGCUGAACUUGGGGCCGGGAGAGGCUAGAGGUACUCCUAGGGUAGAGGUGAAAUUCUGUAAUCCUAGGGGGACCACCAGUGGCGAAGGCGUCUAGCUAGAACGGGUCUGACGGUGAGGGACGAAGCCCUGGGGCGCAAACCGGAUUAGAUACCCGGGUAGUCCAGGGUGUAAACGCUGCUCGCUUGAUGUUAGUUGGGCUCCGAGCCCAACUAGUGUCGGAGAGAAGUUGUUAAGCGAGCUGCCUGGGAAGUACGGUCGCAAGGCUGAAACUUAA